rnacentral:rRNA from 1 species
CAGCCGCCGCGGUAAUACGAAGGGUGCAAGCGUUACUCGGAAUUACUGGGCGUAAAGCGUGCGUAGGUGGUGGUUUAAGUCCGUUGUGAAAGCCCUGGGCUCAACCUGGGAAUUACAGUGGAUACUGGGUCACUAGAGUGUGGUAGAGGAUAGUGGAAUUUCCGGUGUAGCAGUGAAAUGCGUAGAGAUCGGAAGGAACAUCUGUGGCGAAGGCGACUAUCUGGGCCAACACUGACACUGAGGCACGAAAGCGUGGGGAGCAAACAGGAUUAGAUACCCCGGUAGUCCCUGUCUCUUAUAC